UACGGGGGGGGGCAAGCGUUUGUUCGGAAUUACUGGGCGUAAAGGGCUCGUAGGUGGCCAACUAAGUCAGACGUGAAAUCCCUCGGCUUAACCGGGGAACUGCGUCUGAUACUGGUUGGCUUGAGAUUGGGAGAGGGACGCGGAAUUCCAGGUGUAGCGGUGAAAUGCGUAGAUAUCGAGAGGAACACCUGCGGCGAAGGCGGGUUGCUGGGCUGACACUGACGUGAGGCGCGAAAGCCCAGGGGGAGCGAACGGG
rnacentral:rRNA from 1 species